CAGUCGCCGCGGGAAUACAGAGGGUGCAAGCGUUAAUCGGAAUUACUGGGCGUAAAGCGCGCGUAGGUGGUUUGUUAAGUUGGAUGUGAAAGCCCCGGGCUCAACCUGGGAACUGCAUCCAAAACUGGCAAGCUAGAGUACGGUAGAGGGUGGUGGAAUUUCCUGUGUAGCGGUGAAAUGCGUAGAUAUAGGAAGGAACACCAGUGGCGAAGGCGACCACCUGGACUGAUACUGACACUGAGGUGCGAAAGCGUGGGGAGCAAACAGGAUUAGAGACCCGAGUAGUCCCUGUCUCUUAUAU
rnacentral:rRNA from 1 species